rnacentral:SRP_RNA from 1 species
GCUGGGCAUGGUGGUGCAUGCCUGUAAUCCCAGUUACUCGGGAGGCUGAGGUGAGAGAAUCACUUGAACCCAGGAGGUGGAGGUUGCAGUGAGCUAAGAUCGCACCACUGCCCUCCAGCCUGGGCGACAAAGCGAGACCUUGUCUCAA